UGGGUAUAUAAGCUCACACACAGCGUACUCACACCUCACUCACUCAGUGGACAUCCCAACUGGACAUCCCAACUGGACAUCCCAACUGUCAGUUUCUCUGAGACCCUGCCCUACAGACAGACUAGCACGAUGUCAUCUCAGAAG